rnacentral:rRNA from 1 species
GACGAACGCUGGCGGCGUGCCUAAUACAUGCAAGUCGAGCGAAUCACUGGGAGCUUGCUCCCGGUGGUUAGCGGCGGACGGGUGAGUAACACGUGGGCAACCUGCCUGUAAGACUGGGAUAACACCGGGAAACCGGUGCUAAUACCGGAUAAUCCUUUUCCUCUCAUGAGGAAAAGCUGAAAGUCGGUUUCGGCUGACACUUACAGAUGGGCCCGCGGCGCAUUAGCUAGUUGGUGAGGUAACGGCUCACCAAGGCGACGAUGCGUAGCCGACCUGAGAGGGGGAUCGGCCACACUGGGACUGCGACACGGCCCGGACUCCUACGGGAGGCAGCAGUAGGGAAUCUUCCACAAUGGACGAAAGUCUGAUGGAGCAACGCCGCGUGAGCGAUGAAGGCCUUCGGGUCGUAAAGCUCUGUUGUUAGGGAAGAACAAGUACCGGAGUAACUACCGGUACCUUGACGGUACCUAACCAGAAAGCCACGGCUAACUACGUGCCAGCCGCCGCAGUAAGAC